AUUUCUUUUUGUCAACCAAAUAGAAGCCACAGAAAAGUGUGAGUCGGCAACGGACGACCCCCAGGGUUUGCAGGAAUCAUUUUCACUCUCCCGUCGAUUCCAGUUGGUUUUGAGGAAUCUGGCCUCGCAGAAGUGUCACCCCGACAUUACUUACUGAGGAGAAUCUGUUCUUUGAUCGUUAAAAGCCCAACCUUCUGAAUCGAGGGUUCUUUGUCUGAACUGAAGAAAGGGUCAUGGCAGGCAGAAAUCGUGGGCCUCCUCAUGCACCAUACCAGGGGCUUCCUCCCAUGCACGAACCUCCAUUCGGUAGAGGUCUCGGUCCCAUGCCCCAUCCUGCACUUCUUGAAGAAAUGAGAGAAGCUCAAUUUGGGCGAGGCCCAAGGCCACUACCGCCUCACCCUGCCAUAAUCGAGGAGAGAUUAGCUGCUCAGCAUCAAGAAAUUCAAGGGCUGCUUGUCGAUAACCAGAGGUUGGCGGCCACCCAUGUCGCAUUAAAACAGGAAUUAGCAGCAGCCCAGUGUGAGCUGCAACGCAUGGCUCAUCUUGGUGGGUCGGUGCAGACAGAGAAAGAUAUUCAGCUUCGAGAAGCUUUUGAGAAGGCCAUGAAAAUGGAAGCUGAUCUCCAUGCUGCGGAGACUAUGCGGGCGGAGCUUCUGCAAGUUCGCACUGACGUUCAGAAACUCACUACUGUGAAGCAAGAACUUACUAGUCAAGUUAAAUCACUUACUCAGGAUUUGGCUAGAGCUAAUUUGGAGUUGCAGCAGGUGCCGACAUUGAAAGCCGAAAUAGAGCACAUGAAACAGGAAUUGCAGCGAGCGAGAGCUGCUAUUGAGUAUGAGAAGAAAGGGCAUGCUGAAAACUAUGAACAGGGUCAAGCAAUGGAGAAGAAUCUGAUUGCCAUGGCUCGUGAGGUGGAAAAACUGCGCGCAGAGAUUGCUAAUGCGGAAAAGAGAGCACGUGCUGCUGCUGCUGUUGGGAACCCUGGUCCAGGUUAUGGUGGAAAUUAUGGCAAUCCAGACACUUCAUAUGGAGGAAAUCCCUAUCCUGCUGGCUAUGGCAUGAGCCCUGUACAGGCUGGUACUGAAGGUGGACAUCAGUAUGGACCCGGGCCUCAAUAUGGACCUGGACCAGGUGCUUGGGGUGCUUAUGACAUGCAGCGAGCUCAUGGACGCAGAUAAACUAGUGUGACGCUAUGCUGAGUUAUCAUCUCAUUUUGCUUACUUGCUACUGGUUGCUUAGGCUACUACUUAGUAGAUACCCAGAGACUUGGUUAUAUAUCUGUAUUCUUCUGCUCCCGGGGACUGUUGGCGGAGAGCUCUACCAUUUACCCUUCUCUGGUGCCUUAGCACCAAACCAAUGGCGGCACCUUGGUGCUCAACUGUUUGACCUUCUUUAAAAUCUGUCAUUUGGCUUGAAGUGUCCAGCCUGAGAAUGUUACUGCACCCAGCUGUUACCUGUUAUGUUAUACAUGUCAAGCUGACUGCACUGUGGCAUGGCAAGUGGUAUCUAAAUUUAAACCGAUUAUGCUGUGAUUACGGUUUUAUUAUAUGUGUCAAUGGCUUAAAUGGGAGAGGUGAGUCAAUUGCUGUCCUCUUUAGGUUCUGUUAGGCAUCUUCCUGGUAUGAGGGGUAAGCAUGGUGGUCUAGAAACUUAUUGCAACAAAGAGUGUAUCCAAAGUCCCAUCCAUUGUCUAACAACGGCAUGAAGCAAUGUUUGCAUCUAAUUUGGUUACAUUGAGGCUGUGUUCGAUGACAAUACCUGUUCACAAGUGAAGCUGCGGAUGUAUUUCAUGGUCAAGGGAAACCGUCUCUUCUAAACCUGCUAUUGUACUGUUACAAUGUGCUAACCCUCCAGGAGGAACUGGUCAAAUUUGUUAGGCCAACAAAGAAAGGGAACACCCAUGGUUAUGGCAUCCAAGGUUGAGUUCCAGCCACAGUGGGUAAAGAAACAGGCAAUAGAAGGGUGAGCCAGCACCUCUUGUUGAGGUGCCCAGCUGACUAUCUUUCCAUAUUUGGCUAUUCUGUCUAUAAAUCCAUCUGGGUACUUGGUAACAAGUUCAUCAGUGAAAUCAGGUCUAACAACCAAUAUGAACGGGCGAGCAACAUAUUCAAGUCCAAGAGCCAGUUCAUUGAAUUGGCACUGGUUCAAGAAUGAGAUGCUUCCAAAGGCAACAUAAAUGACAGAGCGAAGAGGUUGUUGAUCAAGCCAGUUUAAGCAAGAUGAAUCUGCAUGCAAAAAAUGGGAAGCUGGUUGCCUCUGCCAGUUACUUGAGAUCAAUGGAGCAAUGGGUUGGAUGUUUGGUAUCAAUUCACAGGCCCAAGGCUCCAACUCAAGAGCAGAGUUACAGAGAAGCCAGUUGCAGACUUUGAUGGCCUUAUUAGCAUUUAGUGCUGCUUCAAAGAUAGCGUUUUGCAUGUUCUUAUCAGCUGUGCAGUUCCAUAUCAACUCAGAGGUGCUAAUGCCAGGUAUGGUUGGAGACAAUUGGAUCAUCUCAUUGUUCGCCAUUGAUCCUACCAAAAAAUAAAAAAUAAAAAGAAGUGCAGUAAUGUGAGCAUCAAAAUUGAAGGAUCAUCUCAAGUUAUAGCUUUUGAAAGUCUCACCAUUAUUAUCGAUGAUACCAGCUUCUAUAAGCUUAGGAAUGUGAAGGGAUAAAGCAAGAGUUCCUGCUGCGGCUGGCCAAAAUGCGGCUCCCCUGAUUCCCAUCUUCUCUGCUAUCUGUAGUGGCCACCAGAAUGUGACAUCGGUGAUGAUACAAGUGAGCUCCUCAUCCUCAUUUGAUUCCUUAAUUUUCCUGAUCAGGUUUUCUAAAUGAUAAGGCAUGACCCUCAAGAUGGAUUCGUUUAGCUUCUGAACAUCUCUUCUGUCAUCACCUGGUUCCAAUCCAUCUGGAACUGAGACAAGAUGGAUCUGACUAUCCUUGUUAGACAUUGGAGCCAUUAGUUUUGAGUGCAUGAAAUCAGUAUUCACAAAUGUGACCUUGAUUCCAUGAUCUGCCAACUUGUGGGAAAGCCUCAUUAAGGACAUGACAUGGCUCUGUGCCGGAGCUGGUACGACGACUACGUGGGGAAGCUUGCCCAUAACGAUCAAAACUUUAGCUUUGUGGUUGUUGACAAGAUUGUAUGCCUCAAAGUUUGCAGAGAUCGGAAACCCUGAUCCCGAUUUAUUAGUGGGGGUUCAUCUCAUUUGUAUGUUGUCAUGUUGUUUGCGUUCCAACACUAAAUAUGAACAUCUUGUGGCUUCACUGUAUGCAUGACUAAAAUCCAGACAGAUAUCAGAUAAUAUUGAGGUUAUUUCCUCUAUUACCAAUUGUAGGAAAGCCGCAACUCGCUUCAUCAUUGCCCCGAUUAUUCAAGACAUCUUUUGUGUAGCAGUUAUUUUUCAGUCGGUUGUGUUUUCUUAUCUUUUCA